UACGGAGGGGGCUAGCGUUGUUCGGAAUUACUGGGCGUAGAGCGCACGUAGGCGGCUUUGUAAGUUAGAGGUGAAAGCCCAGGGCUUAACCCUGGAAUUGCCUUUAAGACUGCAUCGCUAGAAUCGUGGAGAGGUGAGUGGAAUUCCGAGUGUAGAGGUGAAAUUCGUAGAUAUUCGGAAGAACACCAGUGGCGAAGGCGACUCACUGGACACGUAUUGACGCUGAGGUGCGAAAGCGUGGGGAGCAAACAGG
rnacentral:rRNA from 1 species